UUAUAGACAAGACAAUACAUAAAUGUUCAAAGAGCUAAAUCCAAUCUCUGAAAUAGCUAUGAUCUCAUGCUCAACAAAUCUAGCAUGUGUCAUAAAUCAUCCCUUAAGCUAUUUACAGUACGUGCAUUUUCUGAAGAUCUGUCAUUCUGGCGACUAUAUGCAAACUGUUCGUGGAACGAAUUUUGUUUAUGGGAUAAUAUUUUUCAAUAAUUGUUUCAAUAAAUUUAAACAUUCACACUAUCAACGAACAUAAUUCAUGAACAUAAACCAAUUCACAGAAACAAACUGUUCUGUUCACGAAUUCAUCAACAUGAACUCACUGUUCACGAGCAAUUGUUCAAAAACUGUUAUAUUGAGAAAAGCAGGA